UAGGGAAGAUGCGGCAAGGGACGAAAGGCUGACCGAGCAAAGCCGCGUGAGUGAAGAAGGGUGGCGGAUCGGAAAACGAGGGGGUUAGAGAAGAAAAAGGACGGUAGGAAAGGAAAGGCCCCGGAAGGGAGAGAACCAGAAAGACAAGGAGAAAUAAGUGCCAGCAGCCGCGGUAAUACGUAGGUGGCAAGCGUUGUCCGGAUUUAUUGGGCGUAAAGCGAGCGCAGGCGGUUUCUUAAGUCUGAUGUGAAAGCCCCCGGCUCAACCGGGGAGGGUCAUUGGAAACUGGGAGACUUGAGUGCAGAAGAGGAGAGUGGAAUUCCAUGUGUAGCGGUGAAAUGCGUAGAUAUAUGGAGGAACACCAGUGGCGAAGGCGGCUCUCUGGUCUGUAACUGACGCUGAGGCUCGAAAGCGUGGGGAGCAAACAGG
rnacentral:rRNA from 1 species